AGUUAGUGGCGGACGGGUGAGUAACGCGUGGAAAACCUGCCGUAUACUGGGGGAUAACACUUAGAAAUAGGUGCUAAUACCGCAUAAGCGCACAGCUUCGCAUGAAGCGGUGUGAAAAACUCUGGUGGUAUACGAUGGUUCCGCGUCUGAUUAGCUAGUUGGUGGGGUAAUGGCCUACCAAGGCAACGGUCGGUAGCCGGCCUGAGAGGGUGAACGGCCACAUUGGGACUGAGACACGGCCCAAACUCCUACGGGAGGCAGCAG
rnacentral:rRNA from 1 species